rnacentral:rRNA from 1 species
AGCAGCAGCCGCGGUAAUACGUAGGUGGCAAGCGUUGUCCGGAAUUAUUGGGCGUAAAGGGCUCGCAGGCGGUUUCUUAAGUCUGAUGCGAAAGCCCCCGGCUCAACCGGGGAGGGUCAUUGGAAACUGGGAAACUCGAGUGCAGAAGAGGAGAGUGGAAUUCCACGUGUAGCGGUGAAAUGCGUAGAGAUGUGGAGGAACACCAGUGGCGAAGGCGACUCUCUGGUCUGUAACUGACGCUGAGGAGCGAAAGCGUGGGGAGCGAACAGGAUUAGAUACCCCCGUAGUCCCUGUCUCUUAUAC